AUCGAAAAAACUACCGCUCUCUCUAAUCUUCUAUAAAUACUAUUGCUGCCUUAGAUUUUUUCCCUCCCACUAGCUAAAGCAAAAAUGAGGAUUUCUAAACAGAUGUUUCUUCGUCGCGCCGCCAGACGUAGAGGUGUUCAAGCCCCAGUUGUUCCCGUUCCUCCGGCGAAUCACGUUGCUCUUGCGGAUCCCACCGUUGGUCCCGUCGUUCAAGUUGAUCAUGCGUUUGCCGGUGGCGGAUCUGCUUCUGAAGUUGCUGAUGUGGAUCCUGUUGUCACCGCGGAUCCAAUGGUUCCCGCAGAGGUGGAUCCAAUGGAUCCCGUGGAAGUUUUCGAUGAUCCAGUCGUUCCCCGUAUCGGAUCUGCUACUGAAGGUUGUAACAGUGGCAUGAUCGGUUUGAAAGUUCCUUUUGGUACUUAUGGUAAUACCUUUAGGUUUUAUCCUUGCUCUGAUUGUGUGAUUACUGGUGGGAUCAACUACUUGCUUCGUGGAGAUGAGGAUUACAGAUAUGUUCCCGAUGAUGAUUGUGUUUUAUUCCCUCAUGGUGGGUUAGUAAGUCUUGUUCAAGGAAGGGUAUUUGUUACCUUUCCUCCUUUCAAGGUUUACAAUCAUUGCAUUGUAUCGAUUCCUGUUGGUGGUUAUGUCCAGUUUUUUACAGAACCUGGAGAUCAAUUCGAAUAUGAUAGUGAUGAUGGUUUCUCUAGUGACGAAGAGGAAGCGUUGGGAGCUUGGGUUGAAGAAAACAUGGGUUUUACUGACGAAGAGGAGGCGAUGGAAGCUUGGGUUGAUGAAGACAUGGGUUUGUGAGUAAUCCACCGGUCUAUUGAUGGGGCGGUUCAAAGAAUGUGUUGGAGUCUCGAAAGGGUUGCCUUGAGUAUUCUUGUACUCUAUAUGCCUUUGAUUCAGUAUGUAGUAGCUCUUGCUGUGAUGGAGGCAGUGAAGUCUGUUUGUGACAAGAAGGAGUGGUACCUCAACAUACAGAUCAAAGAAGUUCAAUGUUAGUGCUGGUAAUAGACAUUACUACUUCUACUACUUACAAGUUCGAUGGCUUUGUAAACAUCUUUUAGAAGGUAUUCUUGUUGCUUGUUUAAAAGAGAAGAACUUCUUGGUGCCUUCUUUCAUAAAUUUGAAAUGUUCCUUGAUCUACUCAUGCACAGAGGAUUUGAAUCUCUCGAGGAGCUUUACAGGACAUGGUUUCACAGGUGACGGUUAUGUCUUCAAUUGCUUAUCACUAACAAUUAUAGGUUUCCGAGCCUAGGCUACACAUAAGGUAGUCAAGUAUACCGUAUACGUUAUGCUAUGUAGAUCUUAUUGACUUGUGGUUGGAUAUGAUUCUCUUGAUAUGCUCAUCGUUAAGGUUUGUGAAUAUAAACUUUACUGUGCAGCGAGCAAAAAGUGGUUGUUGAAGAUAGAAUUGACGACAAAGUUGUUCAAAAUGUUGUGACUAUUUCAGGGUUUGACUUCUUCGGGGUAUCUGCUGGCUAUUGGAGAUGACAAUCAAAUGUAUGAGCUUCACCCUGAUGGCAAUAGGUCUGGUCAGAAGAAAACUAUGCUCCAAAGAUUUUCUUGCAGCAUCCUUCUGGAGGAAGCAACUGUUGUUUUAAGCACACCAAUAACACAACUACUAUUGGCUUCGAUCAUCAAAGAAUAAAUUGACUGCUUUUCUUUACUGUAUAUGGUCUUCAUAAGAUUCCUUUUAUAUCCAAAUGAUAAGGCUACGUUAAUGACAUUGUAAAGGCCUCGUUUUGGUUUAACUUGGAUCUGCUUACUUCUUAGCCUAUGCUGGUGUUGCUGAUUUCAAGUUGAGUAGAACUUACCUUAAUGUUGAUAGUCUCUUCCGAGAAUAUUAUGCACCUUCUUACUGUUAAUGUCUAAGUAUGCAUUUUAUGUUACUAUAACUCUCUAUGUAAUUAGUUGGACAAGAGCUUGUCAUUUCCUGGAAUUUGUAACCGAGAGAAAAUUAAUUUGAUCCU